rnacentral:rRNA from 1 species
GACGAACGCUGGCGGCGUGCUUAACACAUGCAAGUCGAACGGACAGGCCCUGCUUUUGUGGGGUGCUUGAGUGGCGAACGGGUGAGUAACACGUGUGUAACCUGCCCUUGACUUUGGGAUAACUUUUGGAAACUGGGGCUAAUACCGGAUAGGAGCUUUUGCUGCACGGUGGGGGUAGGAAAGUUUCGGCGGUUGGGGAUUGUCUCGCGGCUUACCAGCUUGUUGGUGGGGUAGUGGCUUACCAAGGUUUCGACGGGUAGCCGGCCUGAGAGGGUGGCCGGCCACAAUGGUACUGAGAUACGGCCCAGACUCCUACGGGAGGCAGCAGUGGGGAAUAUUGCACAAUGGGCGGAAGCCUGAUGCAGCAACGCCGCGUGCGGGAUGACGGCCUUCGAGUUGUAAACCUCUUUCGCCUGUGACGAGGCGUGAGUGACGGUAAUGGGUAAAGAAGCACCGGCUAACUACGUG